rnacentral:rRNA from 1 species
GUCGAGCGGUACAGGUGUAGCAAUACAUGCUGACGAGCGGCGAACGGGUGAGUAAUGCUUUGGAAUCUUCCCAGUAGUGGGGAAUAACCAGUCGAAAGAUUGGCUAAUACCGCAUACGUCGGAGACGAGAAAGCGGGGGAUCGUAAGACCUCGCGCUAUUGGGUGAGCCAAAGUCGGAUUAGCUAGUUGGUGGGGUAAUGGCCUACCAAGGCGACAAUCCGUAGCUGGUCUGAGAGGACGACCAGCCACACCGGAACUGAGACACGGUCCGGACUCCUACGGGAGGCAGCAGUGGGGAAUAUUGGACAAUGGGGGAAACCCUGAUCCAGCGACGCCGCGUGUGUGAAGAAGGCCUGCGGGUUGUAAAGCACUUUUAGUGGGGACAAAAAGUCACGGAUUAAUACUUCGUGAUCUUGAUUUAACUCACAGAAAAAGCACCGGCUAACUCUGUGCCAGCAGCCGCGGUAAUACAGAGGGUGCGAGCGUUAAUCGGAAUUACUGGGCGUAAAGCGCGUGUAGGCGGGCUUUUAAGUCAGGGGUGAAAUGCCAAGGCUCAACCUUGGAACUGCCUUUGAUACUG